CACGUAGGGGGCGAGCGUUGUUCGGAUUUACUGGGCGUAAAGGGCGCGUAGGCGGCGUGGUAAGUCAGCUGUGAAAUCUCCGAGCUUAACUCGGAAAGGUCAACUGAUACUGUGCGGCUAGAGUGCAGAAGGGGCAACUGGAAUUCUUGGUGUAGCGGUGAAAUGCGUAGAUAUCAAGAGGAACACCUGCGGCGAAGGCGGGUUGCUGGGCUGACACUGACGCUGAGGCGCGAAAGCUAGGGGAGCGAACGGG
rnacentral:rRNA from 1 species